rfam:Erinaceus europaeus unplaced genomic scaffold scaffold00509, whole genome shotgun sequence
GUGCUUGCUUUGGCAGCACAUAUAAUAAGAUUAGAACGACACAGAGAAGAUUAUCGUGGCCCCUCCAGAAGGAUGACAAACAAAUUCGUGAAGCGUUACCUAUUUUU